UACAGAGGUCCCAAGCGUUGUUCGGAUUCACUGGGCGUAAAGGGUGCGUAGGCGGCCUGUUACGUCUGCUGUGAAAUCCCGGGGCUUAACCCCGGGCGUGCAGUGGAUACGGGCAGGCUGGAGGCAGGCAGGGGAGAACGGAAUUCCCGGUGUAGCGGUGAAAUGCGCAGAUAUCGGGAGGAACACCGGUGGCGAAGGCGGUUUUCUGGGCCUGUACUGACGCUGAGGAGCGAAAGCGUGGGGAGCGAACAGG
rnacentral:rRNA from 1 species